UGGAAGAAAAUAAAUAAGAACUUGAAUAUUAAUAGAUAUGUUCUUUAAAAUCAAAGAAUUUGGCGGUAUUUUANUCUUGUUAGAGGAACCUGUUCNGUAAUCGAUAAAACACGUAAGAUUUUUAUUUGCUCUUGUUAUAUCAGUUUGUAUACCGUCAUUAUUAAAUAAUCUUGAAAAAGUUAAUUAUUGGGGUUAGAAGUUUAAGCUAAAUANAUUAGAUCAAGGUGCAGCUUAUGGGCAAGUAGAAAUGGGUUACAAUAAAAUAUAUUUAAACGAAUUGUAGGUAGAAUUACUUACAAAGAAGGUGGAUGUAAUUGUAAAAAUAAUUUAAUAAGUUAUUUUGAUAUAAGCUCUAAAUUAUGUACAUAUCGCCCGUCGCUUUCAUUUAAAAUGAAAUA
rnacentral:rRNA from 1 species